ANAUGCAGUCGAGCGGACAGAUGGGAGCUUGCUCCCUGAUGUUAGCGGCGGACGGGUGAGUAACACGUGGGUAACCUGCCUGUAAGACUGGGAUAACUCCGGGAAACCGGGGCUAAUACCGGAUGGUUGUUUGAACCGCAUGGUUCAGACAUAAAAGGUGGCUUCGGCUACCACUUACAGAUGGACCCGCGGCGCAUUAGCUAGUUGGUGAGGUAACGGCUCACCAAGGCGACGAUGCGUAGCCGACCUGAGAGGGUGAUCGGCCACACUGGGACUGAGACACGGCCCAGACUCCUACGGGAGGCAGCAGUAGGGAAUCUUCCGCAAUGGACGAAAGUCUGACGGAGCAACGCCGCGUGAGUGAUGAAGGUUUUCGGAUCGUAAAGCUCUGUUGUUAGGGAAGAACAAGUGCCGUUCAAAUAGGGCGGCACCUUGACGGUACCUAACCAGAAAGCCACGGCUAACUACGUGCCAGCAGCCGCGGUAAUACGUAGGUGGCAAGCGUUGUCCGGAAUUAUUGGGCGUAAAGGGCUCGCAGGCGGUUUCUUAAGUCUGAUGUGAAAGCCCCCGGCUCAACCGGGGAGGGUCAUUGGAAACUGGGGAACUUGAGUGCAGAAGAGGAGAGUGGAAUUCCACGUGUAGCGGUGAAAUGCGUAGAGAUGUGGAGGAACACCAGUGGCGAAGGCGACUCUCUGGUCUGUAACUGACGCUGAGGAGCGAAAGCGUGGGGAGCGAACAGGAUUAGAUACCCUGGUAGUCCACGCCGUAAACGAUGAGUGCUAAGUGUUAGGGGGUUUCCGCCCCUUAGUGCUGCAGCUAACGCAUUAAGCACUCCGCCUGGGGAGUACGGUCGCAAGACUGAAACUCAAAGGAAUUGACGGGGCCCGCACAAGCGGUGGAGCAUGUGGUUUAAUUCGAAGCAACGCGANAACCUUACCAGGUCUUGACAUCCUCUGACAUCCUAGAGAUAGGACGUCCCCUUCGGGGCAGAGUGACAGGUGGNGCAUGNUGUCGUCAGCUCGUGUCGUGAGAUUNUGGNUNAGUCCCGCANGAGCGCANCCCUNAUCUAGUGCAGCAUCAGUUGNNNACUCUAAGNGACUGCNNGACAACGANNNNNGNNGACGUCANCANAUNCNNNUGACCUGNUACCANNNNNUCAAUGNNGAUAUGCUAUGUCACUGCUAAUCCGGUGAAGUUAGAC
rnacentral:rRNA from 1 species